UGACGCUGGGGACGCGAGCGGCGGAUGGGUGAGUAACACGUGGGCAACCUGCCCCAGAGCGGGGGAUAACAUUUGGAAACAGGUGCUAAUACCGCAUAACAACGAAAACCACAUGAUUUUCGUUUAAAAGAUGGUUUCGGCUAUCACUUCUGGAUGGGCCUGCGGCGCAUUAGCUUGUUGGUGAGGUAACGGCUCACCAAGGCUGUGAUGCGUAGCCGAGUUGAGAGACUGAUCGGCCACAAUGGAACUGAGACACGGUCCAUACUCC
rnacentral:rRNA from 1 species